rnacentral:rRNA from 1 species
UACGUAGGUGACCAGCGUUGUCCGGAUUUACUGGGCGUAAAGAGCGCGCAGGCGGUCGUUCAAGUCGAGUGUGAAAGCCCCCCGGCUCAACUGGGGGAGGGUCACGCGAUACUGAUCGACUCGAAGGCAGGAGAGGGUAGUGGAAUUCCCGGUGUAGUGGUGAAAUGCGUAGAUAUCGGGGAGGAACACCAGUGGCGAAGGCGACUACCUGGCCUGUUCUUGACGCUGAGGCGCGAAAGCUAGGGGAGCAAACGGG